UCAACAAAAAGCGAACUUUAUCAACUGCAGACCUCGUCCCAGUCACGAAUCAUAAGCAGCAAAUAACAUCCCACCGCAAUCGAUUUCAAGAAUCUAACAAUUCAUCACCCAAUUUCAGGGACCAAAACAGGAAGUCAAAAGAGACCCAAGCAAAGAAAGAGCAAGAGAGAUCGAGAGAAAGGGGGGAAAAACAACAAAAGCGAAGAAUGUCAUGCCUUAUGGAUCAGCUCUCAGAUCAGGCGAUGGCUUAUCAAGCGAUGCGAAGGGAAGCAAAAGAACACUCGGACUUCGGAUUUCAGUUUGUGGGACUCUGGUCGGCUCCCUCAAGAAAACGGAACUGUGAGAUGUCGAGAAAAUAUGGGUUGCCUCUUGUGAUUCCACCGUGGAAAAAUCCCAGCCCGUCGGAGGCGUCGGCGUCGGCGGCGUCGCUCGUCGGAGGCGGCGUCAGCGUCGGCGUGAGGAGACGGACCUCGCUCGUCGGAGGCAGCGGACCUUGCUCGUGGGAGGCGACGGCUCGUGGGAGGUGACGAACGUCGCUCGUGGGCAGCGGCGGACCUUGCUCGUCGGAGGCGUCAUCGGCGUCGGAGGCUAGGGCGGAGGCGGAGGCUAGGGCCUCGCUCGUCGGAGGUGGCGUCGGCGUCGGCGCGGCGUGAGCGAGACGGAGUGCAGAGCAGAUGUGGAUGGGGAGCGCGAAAGAGAGAGAGAGGGCGCCUGAUUUUUUUCAAAAAUUUUCAGCUCAGCUGCUCUUAGCUCGUUGCCGUGAGAGUGAUUCCACCGUGGAGGCCUCCUGACAACGGUGGGUCCCCUGGCACACGUGUCGCCACCUCAGGGUUGUUAUUUCUCCACGGUGGAAUCACAAGGGGCAGCCAAUAUUAUCUCCACAAUAUAA